rnacentral:rRNA from 1 species
CCUACGGGAGGCUGCAGUGGGGAAUAUUGCACAAUGGGGGAAACCCUGAUGCAGCGACGCCGCGUGAGUGAAGAAGGAAUUCGUUAUGUAAAGCUCUAUCAGCAGGGAAGAAAAUGACGGUACCUGAGUAAGAAUCCCCGUCGAACUACGUGCCAGCAGCCGCGGUAAUACGGAGGGGGCAGGCGUUAUCCGGAUUGACGGGGUGUAAAGGGAGCGUAGACGGCAGUGCAAGUCUGGAGUGAAAGGCGGGGGCUCAACCCCCGGACUGCUCUGGAAACUGUACGGCUGGAGUGCAGGAGAGGUAAGUGGAAUUCCUAGUGUAGCGGUGAAAUGCGUAGAUAUUAGGAGGAACACCAGUGGCGAAGGCGGCUUACUGGACUGUAACUGACGUUGAGGCUCGAAAGCGUGGGGAGCGAACAGGAUUAGAUACCCGAGUAGUC